UACGUAGGGGGCUAGCGUUGUCCGGAAUCAUUGGGCGUAAAGAGCGUGUAGGCGGCCCGGUAAGUCCGCUGUAAAAGUCAAAGGCUCAACCUUUGAAUGUCAGUGGAUACUGCCGGGCUAGAGUCCGGAAGAGGCGAGUGGAACUCCUGGUGUAGCGGUGGAAUGCGCAGAUAUCAGGAGGAACACCAGUAGCGAAGGCGGCUCGCUGGGCCAUUCCUGACGCUGAGACGCGAAAGCUAGGGGAGCGAACAGG
rnacentral:rRNA from 1 species